CGAAGGGUGCCUGUGUUGUCCAAACAUGUCGGCCUCAGCAUUCGGAUGGCACCGCUCAGACCCAGCAUUCGGACGGCACCGCUCAGACCCAGCAGUGGGAGCUUAAGGACUUUGAGAACUCACUCAUACAGCUCACGGCGAGUCUGGACUUCAAGGAGGAAGAUCCACAGGACAAACACGAGCUUAAUGACAUCAACCUGGAGAAGCUGCCGGAGUCAGAGGGCAUGGAUGAACUUAACAAACCGUGGCUGAGGUUACGGGCCCUUCUGAGGAACUACCAGAAGGACCUCAUGUUGGCUCUCGAUGUGUCCAGCUUUUACCAGCAGG
ensembl:lncRNA